rnacentral:rRNA from 1 species
AACGUAGGUCACAAGCGUUGUCCGGAAUUACUGGGUGUAAAGGGAGCGCGGGCGGGAAGACAAGUUGGAAGUGAAAUCUAUGGGCUCAACCCAUAAACUGCUUUCAAAACUGUUUUUCUUGAGUAGUGCAGAGGUAGGCGGAAUUCCCGGUGUAGCGGUGGAAUGCGUAGAUAUCGGGAGGAACACCAGUGGCGAAGGCGGCCUACUGGGCACCAACUGACGCUGAGGCUCGAAAGUGUGGGUAGCAAACAGG